UACGAAGGGGGCUAGCGUUUUUCGGAAUUACUGGGCGUAAAGCGCACGUAGGCGGGUUGUUAAGUCAGGGGUGAAAUCCCGGAGCUCAACUCCGGAACUGCCUUUGAUACUGGCAACCUAGAGACUGGAAGGGGUUAGUGGAAUUCCCAGUGUAGAGGUGAAAUUCGUAGAUAUUGGGAAGAACACCAGUGGCGAAGGCGGCUAACUGGUCCAGUACUGACGCUGAGGUGCGAAAGCGUGGGGAGCAAACAGG
rnacentral:rRNA from 1 species